rnacentral:rRNA from 1 species
UGGGGAAUCUUGCACAAUGGGGGAAACCCUGAUGCAGCGACGCCGCGUGAGCGAUGAAGCCCUUCGGGGUGUAAAGCUCUUUCGACGGGAACGAUAAUGACGGUACCCGGAGAAGAAGCUGCGGCUAACUACGUGCCAGCAGCCGCGGUAAUACGUAGGCAGCAAGCGUUGUUCGGAGUUACUGGGCGUAAAGAGUACGUAGGCGGUUUGCUAAGUCUGGUGUGAAAUCUCCUGGCUUAACUGGGAGGGUGCGCUAGAUACUGGCAGGCUUGAGUAUGGGAGAGGAGAGUGGAAUUCCUGGUGUAGCGGUGAAAUGCGUAGAUAUCAGGAGGAACGCCGGUGGUGUAGACGGCUCGUCUGGACCAUUACUGACGCUCAUGCACGAAAGCGUGGGGAGCAAACAGGAUUAGAUACCCCAGUAGUCCCUGAGCGGGCUGGCAAGGCGCAU